rnacentral:lncRNA from 1 species
AGAUCUUACAGCUGAAUGGAGGUCCUUUCCCAAAAUGGGAAGGGCUGGGGGUGGGGGUGCCAUUUAGGGUAAUAUCAAGAAUCUGUGACCAGCAAUGGCAAGGGUGUCUGGUUUCAAAUGCCGACUCCAGAGCCGAUGUCAUGGAACAGUGUUUAAUGCUGUGGAAGAGGACAAGCCCAUCUAGGGAGUCGAUGCAGGGUAAACAAGAGACGAUGGAGUCGCCCAUAUUUAAAGUCUCUUAAGAGAAGAAACGGGUUCAUUUUAAGCCCUAGGGGAGGUUCUCUGUUCUCCAACCCUUCCUCCCCCACCCCUUCUUUCCCUAGAGGCUUCCUCAGCCCCAAAGACCACAGAGAAUGAAUGACAUCAUCUGAGCUCAGACCUCGCUGGGCCCAAUUAUCAGGCUAUAAGUGGAAGCGCCCUACAUUUUCCCACAGGAAAGUGCCCUCCCACACUCCCGACUUGCUGCUCCUGGGGACCUUGGCAGAGUCCACAGGCUCUGGCCUGAAGAAAACCGAGCCCCUUCCCCAUGGGCACACUGUUCAGGUC